rnacentral:rRNA from 1 species
AGCUAUGUUCGGAAGCGAUAACCGCUGAAAGCAUCUAAGCGGGAAGCGCGCCUCAAGAUGAGACUUCCCGGGGCACAAGCCCCCUAAAGGAACCAUGUAGACUACGUGGUUGAUAGGUCAGGUGUGUAAGUACAGCAAUGUAUUGAGCUAACUGAUACUAAUGAUCCGUGCGGCUUGACCAUAUAACCUCA